CCCGGGGCCCCAGUAACCUCCAUAUGCCUGUACUUCCCUGGCUGUACCCCUGCUUGUUCUUCUUGUCUGAGCUCCACACCUGUGUGUGUGUCUGCACAUCCUGCACCCACCUCCCCACACUGCUUCUCAGAACCUGCAUAACUCCCUGCCAUGAAUAAUUCUAUGUGGCAACUUGACUGGGGCAUGGGGUGCCCAGAUACUUGGCCUAACCUGAUUCCAGGCAUUUCUGUGAGGCUGUUUUUGGAUGAGUUUAUCACUUAAGGUGAUGAGUGCGCAAAGUAGUUUGUCCUCCCCAGUGUCGGGGGGCCUCAUGAGAUCAGCUGAGGGUCCCGAGCUGAGUAGAACACGGCUGGCCCUCCCCCAGGUAAGAGAGAAUUCCUCCUGCCUGCCGGCCUUCGAGCUAGCUCAUGGGCUUUUUCCUGCCUUUGGACUAGGACUGAAACACCAGCUCUUCCUGGGUCUUGAGCCUGCAGCUUUUGGACUGGAACCUACACUCUGGGCUCUCCUGGUUCUCAGGCCUUUGAACUCAGAUGGGAACUGUACCCUCAGCUCUCCUGGGUGUCCAGCUUGCUGACCACAGAUCUUGGAACUUCUCUGCCUUCGUAAUCACGCAAGCCAAUUUGUUGUAAUACAUCUCUAUCUGUCUAUGUCUUCUAGGUUAAGUUUCCUGGAGAAUUCUGAAGGAUACACCCCCUUCCUCUCCUACAGCUCAGAGUUGUUCUGUGCACUUGGAUCAGCCUCCACAACUCCCCCCCGGGACAGGGCACCCAUCACCAUCUCCUACGUGGACAGCAGCAAACACUGCCCCCGUGACUUCCUGGUGCCAUCCUUGGCUCCAUUACGUCCAUUCUCCAGUGGCUGGCAGAGUGAGCUUGAAGAACGUGUGACACGCCCUUCAGAAUGUUCUACUUCCUGUUCCAGAAGGACAGCCCCUCAUACCUUCCCGCGGGCCACACGCCACCUCUUCCUCAGUGCCCCAGCCUGGCAUCCUCUUCCUGCAUUCAGCCUUCUUUUCCGAGGGAAUUUACGAGGCCUCUUGGAGGGCUGGGAUGAUGGCUGAUGGCCCCAUGCCUUGUGUGGAAGUGGGCACGAGGCAGGCAUGUUGCUACCAGUGACCCCACAGCAGGGCCAGAG
rnacentral:lncRNA from 1 species